UUAGUUUUAUUUUUAUUAAAUAAUUUAAUUAAAUAAAAUUUUACAUAUAAAAAUUUUUGUAAAUAUAUUUAUUUUAAAUAAAUAAAUUAAAUUAAUUCUUUAUUAUUUUUAAUAGUAGUAAUUAAUAUUAUUAUUUUAAUUUAAGUUAAAUUGUAGUUAUUAUUUAAAAGUAUUGGUAAAAUUUGUGCCAGCAAUCGCGGUUAUACAAAUAUUAUAAUUAAAUUUUUUUAAAUGAAGUUAAAAUAUUAUAAAAAUAAUUUAAUUAUUUUAAUUAAAAUAAAAAAAAAUAAAUUUUUAAGUGAAAUUUAAAUUUAUUAAUUUUUUUUUCAUAAAAUUUUUGAAUCUUUGAAAAUUUAAUUUUAGACUAGGAUUAGAUACCCUAUUAUUUAAAUUGUAAAAUUUAAAAAAUUAAGGUAGUAUUAAUUAAUUUUUUAAAACUUAAAAAAUUUGGCGGUAUUUUAUUCUAUUUAGAGGAAUUUGUUCUAUAAUCGAUAAUCCACGAAUAUUUUACUUUUUUUUGUUUGCAGCCUAUAUAUCGUUGUCAUCAGAGUAUUUUAUAAGAAUUAAUAAUUUUCUAAAUUUUGUAUUAAAAAUCAUGUCAAAUCAAGGUAUAGUUUAUGAAAAAGUAGAAAUGAGUUACAAUAAAUUAUAUUUAUAUGGAUAAUUUGAUUAAAUAUUAAAUUUGAAGGUGGAUUUAAAAGUAAAUUAAUUUAUAAAAAUUAAUUGAUUAAAGUUUUAAAAUAUGCACAUAUCGCCCGUCGCUCUCGUUAUUUAAAUUUUUAAAAAGAUGAGAUAAGUCGUAACAUAGUAGGUAUAUCGGAAGAUGUCCCUAGAAAUA
rnacentral:ncRNA from 1 species